rnacentral:rRNA from 1 species
AUUGAACGCUGGCGGCAUGCCUUACACAUGCAAGUCGAACGGUAACAGGUUAAGCUGACGAGUGGCGAACGGGUGAGUAAUGUAUCGGAACGUGCCCAGUUGUGGGGGAUAACUGCUCGAAAGAGCAGCUAAUACCGCAUACGACCUGAGGGUGAAAGCGGGGGAUCGCAAGACCUCGCGCAAUUGGAGCGGCCGAUAUCAGAUUAGGUAGUUGGUGGGGUAAAGGCUCACCAAGCCGACGAUCUGUAGCUGGUCUGAGAGGACGACCAGCCACACUGGGACUGAGACACGGCCCAGACUCCUACGGGAGGCAGCAGUGGGGAAUUUUGGACAAUGGGCGCGAGCCUGAUCCAGCCAUGCCGCGUGCGGGAAGAAGGCAUUCGGGUUGUAAACCGCUUUUGUCAGGGAAGAAACACUCUGGGUUAAUACCCUGGGGUAAUGACGGUACCUGAAGAAUAAGCACCGGCUAACUACGUGCCAGCCGCCGCAGUAA